ACCAUCCUCCAAGGCUAAAUACUCCUGACUGACCGAUAGUGAACCAGUACCGUGAGGGAAAGGCGAAAAGAACCCCGGCGAGGGGAGUGAAAAAGAACCUGAAACCGUGUACGUACAAGCAGUGGGAGCACCCUUCGGGGUGUGACUGCGUACCUUUUGUAUAAUGGGUCAGCGACUUAUAUUCUGUAGCAAGGUUAACCGUAUAGGGGAGCCGGAGGGAAACCGAGUCUUAACCGGGCGUUAAGUUGCAGGGUAUAGACCCGAAACCCGGUGAUCUAGCCAUGGGCAGGUUGAAGGUUGGGUAACACUAACUGGAGGACCGAACCGACUAAUGUUGAAAAAUUAGCGGAUGACCUGUGGCUGGGGGUGAAAGGCCAAUCAAACCGGGAGAUAGCUGGUUCUCCCCGAAAGCUAUUUAGGUAGCGCCUCGUGAAUUCAUCUCCGGGGGUAGAGCACUGUUUCGGCUAGGGGGCCAUCCCGGCUUACCAACCCGAUGCAAACUGCGAAUACCGGAGAAUGUUAUCACGGGAGACACACGGCGGGUGCUAACGUCCGUCGUGAAGAGGGAAACAACCCAGACCGCCAGCUAAGGUCCCAAAGUCAUGGUUAAGUGGGAAACGAUGUGGGAAGGCCCAGACAGCCAGGAUGUUGGCUUAGAAGCAGCCAUCAUUUAAAGAAAGCGUAAUAGCUCACUGGUCGAGUCGGCCUGCGCGGAAGAUGUAACGGGGCUAAACCAUGCACCGAAGCUGCGGCAGCGAACGUAUCACCCAAGACAACUUUACGGAGUUGACGAUUGACGGAGCGAAGCGACGUCAAAGCGUUCAUUAAAGUCGAGUUGGCUUAGGGAUACGUUCGUUGGGUAGGGGAGCGUUCUGUAAGCCUGUGAAGGUGUGUCGUGAGGCAUGCUGGAGGUAUCAGAAGUGCGAAUGCUGACAUAAGUAACGAUAAAGCGGGUGAAAAGCCCGCUCGCCGGAAGACCAAGGGUUCCUGUCCAACGUUAAUCGGGGCAGGGUGAGUCGACCCCUAAGGCGAGGCCGAAAGGCGUAGUCGAUGGGAAACGGGUUAAUAUUCCCGUACUUGGUGUUACUGCGAAGGGGGGACGGAGAAGGCUAUGUUGGCCGGGCGACGGUUGUCCCGGUUUAAGCGUGUAGGUGUGUGUUCCAGGUAAAUCCGGUUCACUUUAACACUGAGGCGUGACGACGAGGCACUACGGUGCUGAAGCAACAAAUGCCCUGCUUCCAGGAAAAGCCUCUAAGCAUCAGGUAACAC
rnacentral:rRNA from 1 species